rnacentral:sRNA from 1 species
UGGUCCUGGAGGCUCACAGGACAGAGAAAGCAGUGGCUGGGCAUGGUGAGAAAAACCUCCAGGUCUGGAGUCAGUGGCCUGGACUGAGGAGGGUCUCCUUGCCUUCAGGGUCUGUAUCCAGAGCCCAGAUUAGCCGAGGCUUCCCAGGCUGCAGGGUGGUGGAAACCUGGAGACACUGGGCAGGCAGGCAGGCAAGCCAUCUUCUUACGAUGCCAAUGGAGGGCGUUGGCCUGUGUUAAGUGAUGUCCUUUCACUGGACAACCCGAUGUCACCUCACUUCUGUGACAGUGGAUUUCCAGCUCUGUCUCCUAGAGAUGUGACCCGUGCCAGCUGGGCUUAUGCCUCAAGCUGGCACUGGGGGGGGGGGGCUGCCAGUAGAGAGGACACCUAGAGGCACUUAACACACAUGGACAAAACGAAAAGGACAGCCUACCCUAUCCAACAGGAGUGGAUAUGCUUGGUCACACAUCUUCCACCUUAGAUCACAGCCCAGCCGAAACAGGAAGCAAGGGACCACAUAUCUCAGGGAUCUUAGGAAGUACCAUUCCUGCAACUGUUUUGCCUCCUUUUGUAGCCCAGCUCCUGGCUUGCAUGAGCUCAGAUGUCCCUAAUCAGUGGGCCCUUACCUCAGCUCCUCUGCCCUGAAGAGAGAGGUUGAGCCCGGGACAUAGCAUCAGACUUAGACAAGGAUCUAAAUCGACUUUGAAUUUCAGGAAAAAAAACUGGAGAAAACCAAGUUCCUGAGGUGUAGCACCGGGAAGCGUUGCUUGGAAAUACUAGUGAGAUGUCAGGAGACAGUAUUUUGGAAACAGGAAACUGGAUCUGUAAACAUUGUCAGUGAACAGGUAACCCCCCAGGGAGAGGAGGAGGCAGAGGAGUCUUUGCUGAGUCUCAGCUCUCGCUAGAAAAAUAGGAUCGACACACGGUGUUAGGGUUGGCUAAAUCAAGUCAGAGCUCAGAAAACAAAUGCUAGGGCAAUUCUCGUCAAUACGGCAAAUGGCAAAUGGAGAAAAAGAAUACUUAGUGCCGUUAGCAAUAGACAGAAGCUGGCGGCACCCAAGCAUCCAUCGUGGCUGAUAGGCAAAGGGAAGGCCCGGGCACACAAUGAAGACUUGCUCAUCCGUUCAAAGGCAAAGCAUUCUGGUAUACGCUACAGCGUGCAAGGACCUUGAAGACAUUGUGCUAAGCGAAACAAGCCAGCCGCAGGAAAGGUGCCAUCGAUUUCAUCCACAGGGUUCCUGCUGUCCUCAAACCACCGACACAGAAAGCAGAGAGGUGGCUGCAGGGGCCGGGAAAGUAGAGAGGUGGCUGCAGGGGCCGGGAAAGUAGAGAGAUGUCAACGUUUAAUGGGGGCGGAGCUUCAGUUUGGGGAGAUGGGGCAGUCUAGUAAUGGCAGUUAUUAUAUAGCCAUGUGAAGGAUUCUGCCACCCGGCUGGUCACCCGAAAGUGACUCAAAUGGUGGAUUUUGCCUCUAUAUGUGUUUUACCACUCAUGAAGAAUAAACUCGUAACAGCAGCCUGGCCUGGGUUAGGGUGGGAUGGGGGGCCAGCUGUGAGGCCAAGGGCCACCCUGCUCUUAGUCCACUGUGACUUGAGACCUGGGAAUUCUCUCGGGUUGGCAGGGGGAUGCAGUCUUACAUGCAUUCGCUGUACACUCUGGAAGCCUGGUGAUGUGUAACUAUUGCUCCCCUUAGAGCAGUGGUUCUUAACCUUCUUAGUGCUGCGACCCUUUGAUACCUCUCCUCACACUCUGAUGACCCCCACCACCACCAUAAAAUUACUUUUGUUGCUGCUUCAUAGCUGGCAUUUUGCUACUGUUAUGAAUCGUAAUGUAAGUAUUUCGGCGCUAGAGGUUGGCCAGAGGGGUUGAGACCCUCAGGUUGAGAACCACUGUCUUAGAACUCAUACCUGGGUGACUGCACCAGGAAGACAUAGUGUAGGAAACACUAGCUUCCCAGAACUUCCUAGGGAAGAAGCACCCUCUAGGGAAGGAACCCAUGGCCUGCUAGCCACCAGAGCCAGCAUGGGUGUGUCAAAGAACAGAGGCUGCACUGAUCUCAAGCCAAGGGCCAGCCAAGGCUUCCUCUUAGCCUCAGAGACAUCUUUGGAUAGAGCCUUGGGUUUGCUGGGAGGUAAGGAGCAGUGUCUCCCAGGCCAAUGUAAAAGAGACCUAAUACCCCUUGUCUCCUGAAAUGUCUUCCUGCUAGCAACAAGGACGAGCAGCUGGUUCCUUGUGUCUGAGGGCCCCAUGGACACUACAGAGUCAAGGACAGCCUCAGACCAAGACUUCGGCUCUACCCCGCUGUCCUGGGCCAAGUACCUCCCGAAUGCCACUGUAGAUUGUGGUGAUGGUGCUGUUCCUCCUCACAGGGGUCUCAGGACAGCUGCAUCCUGGGAUUGGAAGCCAGAGGUAGGUCUGUUUGGACUAUCCUGACCUGAACCCGUGGGAGGUAUCAUCCCUCUGCUCCACUGGGCCUAACCGGACCCAGUAAAACCCCGUCAUGAGCCCUGCAGCCACUGUGUGACCACCCUGCCCCCUAGUGGCAUGACCUACACCUCCCUGCACCGGCAAUCAUCCAGUUCCGUUGGGUUUUAUUAUCUCAACCAUGCAGCCUUGGUGCGCUUCCUGCCACCCUGGAGAGACAGAAAAACUGAGAUCGGAGGGUUCUUUGAAGUAUAACUCCCGUUCAGUGCUACCCAGCACGCGACCCCUCACUGCCUUCCAAAGACUUCGUGCAUCUCAGGAAUCCAGAGAGCCCAUCUGGUGACAGCGGACCCUCGGGUACAAGAAGCGGAGUAUACGCGGGCGGAACUGGAACCCGACGGGAGGGCAGGGGAGGGCGUGCAGGACUCAGUACAGCCUGGAGCAGCAGACAAGCUCCCUCAUCCCACCCUCGGCUCCCCGGGGCACAGGAAGAGCACACUUGGUUGGUUGUCAGCCGCUGAGAUCUCACCAUCUGUGCCACACACGGCAGCAACAAUGGCUGCUGUGAAGUGGGUCAAGAAGUCUGGCGCUCAACUGGACGCUGGUGGCACGAGAGACUAGAGGAUGUCACCAACCCCGCCUGACCACAUUUCCCCUGACUACAGCUAUAUGUAAGAGAUCGUUACAGAUUCACAGGGCAGUCGCGUAAGAUGACGCAGAAAAAAACCCAGCAUCCAGGUGAAAGGAACCCUGCUUCCCACACAGGGAAUGCUACUGAGUUUUAUGUUGGGAUGGCAUAACUGGACUCCUAGGCCGAUUAGUUCCGGAUGCUGGAGGGUUUCAUCACAUCAGGUCUGGCUACUUACAAACAAAGUAAAUCAGAGGAAAAGUGAGAGGAUUUGAACCAUGUUGGGAAGGUGUAUAUCACCCAUCUCAGCCUACCUCCAGCCUGCGUGGUUGGGGAAGGGAACGGAGGCACUUAGGACCCCAGAAGCCUUGAUCGCUGGCUCAGUCCUGGAUCAGCAAUGAGGCUCUGAGAAGUCUUCCAGACCGAGGCUUCAGUGGAGAUGCCUGUGAGGCAAGAGUGCGGCUCGGGGGACACGUCAUCACAGGUAGAGAGAGAGAUCGAAAGAUAACCAGUGUCAACAUCUGGCCACGUCUGAGCGGGAACCCCGGCACACACAUUUCUCCAGGCAAGUGCACGUGGAGGGAAAAACAAAAAUCCCGGCACCCGAAAAUAUUCUAAUCAGUGUCCCGACUCAGUCCUGGGUCCGAGGAAAUCAAACCAAAGCAGCAUCUUGUUCAUAGACUAAUGAUUGGGGCACGCUUCCUACCGCAGGCACCGACGCAGCUCACCGGAGAGUGGGCUGAGGAAAGUCAACUGUCAAGCGUUCCUUAGUUUUACUAUCUGUGGGGAAAUACGUGCGACUGAAACAUGACAGACAUGGACUCUACCUCUUGGCUCUAGGACACCGAGUACUGCCUGUACCCAAAGGCCGAUGUACUACUACCCAGCUGGCUACGUGCCCUACUACCCAUGGCCUCCCAGGGCCCAGCUUCCUGCUGCUGCCUUUCUCCUGGCUGCACUUGCCUCACUCCCAGUAGGGCAGGGAGGAGCUCUGGAUCUGUCCCACCCCAGGCCUUUCACCCAUGCACCACAGAACGGAAAGAAAAAAAUCAUCUUUAUUGAGGUGCAAUUCACGGGCAAGAAACACACGGUCACGUGAUUGAGGCUGCUGCACCCGAGGACAUUCUGCCUGUCGUGAGUGUUCCCAUUUCCCAUUUAACCCAAGAGUCCAGUCCUCCCCAGUGUCCUCUGCUAGUCAGAGGCUUGCUGCCGGAACAGAGUCUUGCCACUGGACAGGGCACACAGGAAGGACCCGGGCAUCCUACCAACAGCACCAGGAUUCUGAAGAGUCGCCCAGAGCUCCAGUCACCACAGAGGUCAUGGGAUUGUCCUGCUGCACAUCUGGGUUGCUGCUAGACGUGAGCAGUUCCGAAUAAAAAUGCAAGAGGGUUGUAGGGACAUGUUUUGCUUCUCCCCAGAAGGGACUGUGUGGGGGAGACAGGGAGUUAGCACAGUUGACUUUGCAAAGCAGAUGUACCACUUGCCACCCCGUGUCGUCGCCGGCACUUAGCGCUGUCUGGUUUUAAGCAUUAGCCUCUCUUGAAGGCAUGCCGUGGUCCCCCCACUGAUUGGUGAGGGACGAUCGUGAUAUUAGUCACACUUUCGCAUGCUCAGGGCUCAUCUGUUCAGAUCGUGCACAUUUUACUUUUAUUACACUUGCCCGGCGUGUGCACGUGCUUGCCACCACACGCAUGUGUAGGUCAGCAGACAAUGUACAGGAGUCGGUGCCUCUACUUGGGUCCCAGGAAUCUAGUGCAACUUGACAAGCGUGCUAACGGUUGUCUUUUUUCCCAAUGCUGGCCCAGAUCUUUCGAUCUUAAUUUAAAAACUUAGUCUUUAAGCUACGAGGGUUUUUAGGUAUUCUGAAUACAUACCCUAUAUGGAUAUUUUCUCCGAGGUGUGUCUUGCUUUGUUGAUCAUUUAAUGGUAUCUUUUGAUGCUCAGACUGAUAAUUGUAUCUUUUGGAGACUUUGCUCCCUGGAUCCUUAAUGCCUGCCUAAAGGAAGGACUCUUACCCUUGGCAUCCUAUCUGGGCAGAUGUGGUCUCCUUUCUAACCCCAGAACUUAGGACAACGGCUUGGAUGUUGAAUGUCCCCUGAAGGCCCACAUGUUGAAGGCUUUAUUCCCGGUGUGAUAUUACAGAAAGAUGAUGGUACUUUUCUUUCCUCUGUGUAGCCCUGACUAUCCUGUAACUCACUUGGUAGACCAGGCUGGCCUCGAACACACAGACAUCCACCUGCCUCUGCCUCUGUAAGUGCUGGUAUGUUCCACCAUACAUACCUAGCUGUUGAUGGUACGUAUAAAGGAAAGGACCUAGUGGGAAGUCUUUAGGUUACCAAGUGCACAACCUUGACCUUGAAGGGGAUCCAGCAAUUUCCUGUUUCCUUUGGUUACUGGCUGUGACGUGAGCGGCUGUGUUGUUUUCCCAGCUCCUGCCAUGGCCCUCUGCCUCACUACAGAACCAAAGCAAUAAGGCCAAGUCACUAUAUCACUCAAGAUAAACCUCUCCUUUUGAUCCGCUGAUUGUCGCAGGACUUCUAUUCAGUGGUAAGGAGGCACUUAGGACUCCUUAUGACGAGCUCCCUCAUUCCCGGUAUCCAUUUCAGUUCCCACAGGGACCUCUGUCGUUCUUGAACUCCAGGCCGUCUUUCCUCAGCGAGACACUUGUGCAGGGUCAGUCCUUUAUAGAUAAUCUUCAUGUCCUGUGGUCUCUAUAUGCCACAUGCCCCCUUUUUUUUCUCUUUAAGACAGAGUUUCAUGUAACCCUAGGCUGACCUGGAAUUCACCGCGUAGCUAAGGUUGACUAUAAACUUUAUUGUUCGUUUGAGACAGGGUCUUUUUACACAUUCCUGGCUGUCCUGGAACUCAUUACAUAGACCAGAGUGGCCUCAGACUCACAGAAAGUCGCCUGCCUCUGCUUCCCGAGUGCUGGGAUUAAAGGUAUGAACCACACCACGCAUGGCAUUUAGCCUUUUCUUUUAAACCAUGAGUUUUUGGUCCUUGGUCCUCUUGCCUCUACUUCUUGAGUCUACUGGGAUCGGCAAUGGAUUAGGGUUUGUUUUUUUUUUUUUUUUUUCCACCGUGAACUGAAGUUUUCAGCAAAGCAAAAAACCACACAUGCUGGUGUCGAGGACUACACAAGAGCGGCCCACUGAUUACAGCCUCAACGUUGUGGCAUGCUGGAAUGUUGCAGAUCCAGGGUCGAUUUCUCUCCGGCUAUGUUUAGUUCCCUGAAGAGCAGUCAUUGCUGGCUGCUGAGUCUGACCCAACAACACUUUGGAUUAAAUAAAACCUUUACAAUGUA